GAAUACCUAGUCAUUCUUCUCUUCCUCAGGAAAACAGAAGAAAACCUAGUUUGUUUUUUCUUCCUUGCGAAAAUAAAAGAACAGAGGAGACCCUCAGGACAUAUAUCAUUACCAGCGGUCGUUGUAGAAUCCCAGCCUAGCCAAAUAUGAAGAUCAUCGUGGCAUAUUUGUUGGCCGUUUUGGGAGGUAACACAAAACGAGGCUUGUAUAUAUGCUAGAGCAGAAAACAUAUAUGCCCACAUUUUUGCAGUUGUUGGGUAGUAUAGCACAUACUACAAUGCUUGUAUUUGAAACUAGAGAGAGUGAAAUUGAAGAAUUUAUAAUAAACAAGAUUCUGAAAAGUGAUAGUAAAGAUGAUCACAAAAAAGCUUCUUGGGAUGAUAAAAGUGAUAUUUGUAUGUUGAAAGUAGGUUUCGGGGAUUCUUUUGGAAGGCUUCUAGAAUAGGUACAUGAUUCUGUUUUUAAUAAUUAAUGAAGAGUUUGAAAAAAUAUGUGCUGCCCAAAGUUGACUGCAAUAUUUCAAGUUACAAAAGUUUUUCCAGAGGAUCCCGCCAUGAACUAUGUGCUGCUCUAGAUUGACUGAAAUGUUUCAAGUUACUCAAGUUUUGUAAGAGGAUUUGAACAUGAGCCAUAUUAAGUUAUAUCAUGUUGCUAUAUUAAAUCAGUAUAUUUUAUUUUACCUUGAAAUUCUGAAAUUUUGAUAUAUGUUAAGUUAUGUUUCGGGUUAAUUCUGAAUUUUAAUGUACAUUAAGUAAUGUUUGAUUUUGAGAAAUGUUUCGGUUAAAUAAGUUCAUAUAUUAAAUUUAUUAUCUAUUU